AUCCCUACCCAAAAAGUUUGAUACCAACUUAGUCUCUGUGAAUCCACUCCUUAAAAUUCUGACCGAUCCCCAAAUUUCAUAAUUGCUAUGCUCCCCGGACCGAAGCCCCUUCCUUCUUGCAGUCCCAUCGUCCGCCUUUCUCCACCGUUUGGCCAUUCCUAGGAAUCACCUCAAAAUCUCAUUGACGUCGUCUCUCAAGCCUCCCAUAGCUUGAAAUUCCUCGCCCCUUUCUUCUCUGCCUCUGAAUUCAUCUAGGGUCUAAGCUGCCGCACCUAUCUCCACCAUCAUGGACUCGUCAGCUUCUUCCCCUCCUGACACUAAACCCCUCGUUCCCCCUGCACUUGCAGUUGAAGUUUCACAUGCUGGUAACCCUCCAUCACCCACUCCAGUCGAAACUUCUUUAGGUGUGUACUGCCAGCCCUACUCUGCUGCCUAAAAACUUGACAUCGUGCCAAGAUGUAGGAACUAAUAUUGAGCUAGAUGUUUGAAAUUCAAUAAAGACAAAACCAUCAGGAGUGGUUCAUAGUUUGUGGUAUUGCUUCAGUUCACUGGGUAUGUUGGUACUUCUUUACGGGGUUGUGUAUAGUGUACACAUCGUGGUCAACGAUCGGAUAGUUGAACCUAUCUUGGGUUAUUGGAUUGGGUAUUGUCAGCAAAUACUGAUGUUUUGUCUAUACUACUAUAGAAGGCAUUCUCCAUAUCGGUGUAUUGGGAGACUUGUAAAGUCUAUGGUUGAGGUGAUUAGUGUCUCUGUUGCUUUGGCGCUCCGGCAAUUUGUGGGGUAUAAUAUCAACAACCUUAUUCUGUUGAUAGGAUCCACUAUUGUCCUUCAUGGCUUUGUCCAGUUUAUGCAUGUGGCAUACGAUAUAAGUGCAUUGGACACAUUGCUGGGACUACUCAUGCAAGUUCUCAUUUAUACCAUGGGUGGAGAAAUGUACAUGGCAGCUGCUAUGUAUCUGUCUUGUCUUGGAGUUAUUGUCUAUCGGUAUGCUUCCUAUUCUGCACCAGCCUUGCCUGUUCUAGAAUUCAAGGGUUUGGUGUCCCAGCGUUGCUGAUUGAAGGUUUUGCGGGGUCUAUUCUGCUCCUAUACUAGCAAUGAUCACUCAUUGCAACCCAGCUAUAGGCCCCUUACUGAAGUUUAAGUUGUUUGAGACCACGCGGACAGCAAAUUUGUAUAUGCGCGCUCGGAUUUACAUCUAGCGGAAAAAUUGUAGUUCUUUUGGAAUUACGCCAUUUUCAAGUAGCUAUAGAAGAUGGAAGGUCUUACAUGGAGCGAAAGGGUUUUCUUUGCCAAUUACUGCAAUGACUUGAUUAACAGCUAUGAGCACACCGACAAACUUGAGGAAUUUUGACCAAAAUAAAUGGCACUGGAGGAAGAAUGAAAAGCUCAAUCACUGCAUACGCUCGACAUUCAAUGAACAUCAGGCUGUGCAGGGGCCAAAGGGCUUCUGGCGAUCCGAUUCAAUUAGUAAUGCAACGCCAACACAAUUUUUUAAUUGUUUAUAAAACUAGAGAACUGAUCACAAUAGUUAGGUGGAAUAUAAUUAGAGAAUUCUACUUA